rnacentral:rRNA from 1 species
AUUGAACGCUGGCGGCAUGCCUUACACAUGCAAGUCGAACGGCAGCACGGACUUCGGUCUGGUGGCGAGUGGCUAACGGGUGAGUAAUGUAUCGGAACGUACCUUUCAGUGGGGGAUAACGUAGCGAAAGUUACGCUAAUACCGCAUAUUCUGUGAGCAGGAAAGCAGGGGAUCGCAAGACCUUGCGCUGAUUGAGCGUCCGAUAUCAGAUUAGCUAGUUGGUGGGGUAAAGGCCUACCAAGGCUACGAUCUGUAGCGGGUCUGAGAGGAUGAUCCGCCACACUGGAACUGAGACACGGUCCAGACUCCUACGGGAGGCAGCAGUGGGGAAUUUUGGACAAUGGGGGCAACCCUGAUCCAGCCAUGCCGCGUGAGUGAAGAAGGCCUUCGGGUUGUAAAGCUCUUUCGGCCGGGAAGAAAUCGCAUAGGUUAAUACCCUGUGUGGAUGACGGUGCCGGAAUAAGAAGCACCGGCUAACUACGUGCCAGCAGCCGCGGUAAUACGUAGGGUGCGAGCGUUAAUCGGAAUUACUGGGCGUAAAGCGUGCGCAGGCGGCUCUUUAAGACAGAUGUGAAAUCCCCGGGCUCAACCUGGGAACUGCGUUUGUGACUGUAGGGCUCGAGUGCGGCAGAGGGGGGUGGAAUUCCACGUGUAGCAGUGAAAUGCGUAGAGAUGUGGAGGAACACCGAUGGCGAAGGCAGCCCCCUGGGUCGACACUGACGCUCAUGCACGAAAGCGUGGGUAGCAAACAGGAUUAGAUACCCUGGUAGUCCACGCCCUAAACGAUGCCAACUAGGUGUUGGGGAAG